rnacentral:tRNA from 1 species
AUUAGUAUAAUUUUUGGUAUAGCUGAUUGUUGAUUAGCAGGUUUUGAAAUUCUUU